UUUGGCAUGAUUUAUGGGGCACGAUCUGGCGACUGCUCAAGACAUUACUUUCGCAUAUGCUGGCCCUGGAUCUGGCUCUGGAUGGAAAUGGAGAUGGGUUUGGGGAUGCCGUCCUUUGCCAUGGCUUUUGGAUACUCCAAUCAAUUCGCAAGAAUCGAAUCAAAUUUAUAAGCCAUAUAAAGGGGUCAACAAAAGGUAAUAUGAAAGA
rnacentral:sRNA from 1 species